CUCUUACGAAGAAACCGUUCUACGGAAGCCCAGUUGAGACAACUUGAGACAGGAUUCAGAAACGCUGAUUUUAGUAACCUUAACCCUCGGCCUUUGGUGGGAACUUCGGCUCUGUGGGAAUUAGUCUUUGGGGGACUGAUGGUGAUGCUGAAAUCUUAUUGCGUAGGAAAUUAAGUACAACAAAGAAGACCCGUCGUGAGAGGAGAGUGCGGAAGAAAUGCGAAGUCUACGGGAGGUGGCAGCUGCAGAAGCUUGGUGUUGGAUUUGGAGUUAGGAGACCGGGAGGAGCCCAGCUUCCGGUCCAGACGGUUAUCUUGUUGACUUGCACGACUGCAAACGCCCUGAGCUGCUUUUGCAGUCUGAAACAUCAGCGAUCCCAUCAAAAUAUUCUGUUUCUUGGGAUAUAAGAAACAUCCCAAGGCGGGCUGUAGAGCGAGAGAUUUGGACUCGAUUUAAAUACAGACAAAAUAGUAUGCAUUUACUAACACCACAUCUCACCCCCACGAAACUUGGUAAGGGCAGCAACAGAACUUUAUCUGCCAUAUGCACUCCUGUAUUCCUAUUACCAAAUAGUGCCAGGGACUAAGUGAAUAUUUGCCCAAUGAAUGAGUUUUAAGUAGGAAACGUUUGCAUAGAAUCAUUUUGUUUCUUUUGGAGUUCAAAUCUUCGGAUAUUUUACCCUUCCCAAUCCAAAGAAAAGUCUCUGAGUGAAGAGAUGGGAACAAAAUCCAAGCCCAGCACAACAAUGGCACACAGCAGUUGCUGCCCAAGCCUGGGUGCUCCUGGUGGUCCUGCACGAUCGGCUGUGCAGUAGGCUUGUCAAGGAGAGGAUCCUCCCUGGCCUCUCCUUGGGCAGAGGAGGUGGUCCAUAAAGCUGCUCUGGAGCCAAAAUAUUGCAGUCACAUCUCGGCAGCGACCUGCCCUCAGGUGGCAUUUUCAAGUCAUGGAGAAGGUGGAGAUGUUCAGCACACUCAUCUCUUUCUAAUUGGACUUGUUGAAAUGACUCCUUCAACUGCAAGAAUGGGCACAGAACUUAGGAAGGGCUGUCACUGGUCCUCACCUGCUCCUGGCCACCUGGGGUCAUCUUCCUUCCACAUAACUCCCUCAGAAAACCUCACCUGUGUCAGCUGCACUUUCAGUAGUGCCUCCUCCCGCAUGGACUGCUCUAACUUCCACUCCGUACGUGCUUUGCUGCGGCUGGACAACUGGAUGGUGAAGAGUGAGAAGUUUCAAUCUGGAGAGCCUGGGCAUUUCCACACAGUGCCCCUUAAAAGGACUAGGGCUAGGCCCAAUAUACAACUCAGUCAGUAAAGAUCAAGGCAUUUCCAAG
rnacentral:lncRNA from 1 species